rnacentral:rRNA from 2 species
UGAGUGAAGAAGGGUUUCGGCUCGUAAAGCUCUGUUGUUGGAGAAGAACGUGCGUGAGAGUAACUGUUCACGCAGUGACGGUAUCCAACCAGAAAGUCACGGCUAACUACGUGCCAGCAGCCGCGGUAAUACGUAGGUGGCAAGCGUUAUUCGGAUUUAUUGGGCGUAAAGCGAGCGCAGGCGGUUGCUUAGGUCUGAUGUGAAAGCCUUCGGCUUAACCGAAGAAGGGCAUCGGAAACCGGGCGACUUGAGUGCAGAAGAGGACAGUGGAACUCCAUGUGUAGCGGUGGAAUGCGUAGAUAUAUGGAAGAACACCGGUGGCGAAGGCGGCUGUCUGGUCUGCAACUGACGCUGAGGCUCGAAAGCAUGGGUAGCGAACAGGAUUAGAUACCCUGGUAGUCCAUGCCGUAAACGAUGAGUGCUAGGUGUUGGAGGGUUUCCGCCCUUCAGUGCCGGAGCUAACGCAUUAAGCACUCCGCCUGGGGAGUACGACCGCAAGGUUGAAACUCAAAGGAAUUGACGGGGGCCCGCACAAGCGGUGGAGCAUGUGGUUUAAUUCGAAGCUACGCGAAGAACCUUACCAGGUCUUGACAUCUUGCGCUAACCUAAGAGAUUAGGCGUUCCCCUUCGGGGGACGCAAUGACAGG